rnacentral:lncRNA from 1 species
GGUGCCUACGGGGCUCUAUGGGGUCUAUGGAGUGGCUGUGCGGCACUAUAAGGCACUAUAGGGCUCUAUGAAGUGCCUAUGGGGCUCUAUGGGGUCUAUGGAGUGGCUAUGAGGCUCUAUGAGGUGGUUAUGAGGCUGUAUGGGGCCCUAUGGGGCUCUAUGGGGUGACUAUGGGGCUCUAUGGGGUCUAUGGAGUGGCUGUGUGGCUCUAUAAGGCACUAUAGGGCUCUAUAAGGUUCUAUGAGGCUCUAUGGGGCUCUACGGGACCAUGGCACUCUAUGGGGUGGUUAUGGGGCUCUAUGGGGGCGCUAUGGGGUGGUUAUGGGGCGCUGUGGGGCGCCUAUGGGGCGCUAUGGGGUGCCUAUGGGGCUCUAUGGGGUCUAUGGAGUGGCUAUGUGGCUCUAUGGGGUGGUUAUGAGGCUGUAUGGGGGCCCUAUGGGGCUCAAUGGGACUAUGGCGCUCUAUGGGGUGGCUUUGGGGCUCUAUGGGGCCCUAUGGGGUGGUAAUGGGGCUUUUCGGGUGCGUGGCCUACACUCUUUGGGGGGCGUGGCCUACACUCUUGGAG